UACGUAGGGUCCGAGCGUUGUCCGGAAUUACUGGGCGUAAAGAGCUCGUAGGCGGCUUGUCGCGUCGACUGUGAAAACCCGCGGCUCAACCGCGGGCCUGCAGUCGAUACGGGCAGGCUAGAGUUCGGUAGGGGAGACUGGAAUUCCUGGUGUAGCGGUGAAAUGCGCAGAUAUCAGGGAGGAACACCAUAGGCGAAGGCAGCUGCGGCUGGGACGGUACUGACGCUGAGAACGCGGAAAGCGUGGGGAGCAAACAAGG
rnacentral:rRNA from 1 species